rnacentral:rRNA from 1 species
CAAUAGCGUAUAUUAAAGUUGUUGCAGUUAAAAAGCUCGUAGUUGGAUUUCUGGCAGGAGCGACCGGUCACACACUCUGUGUGUGAACUUGUGUUGUCUCUGGCCAUCCUUGGGGAGAUCCUGUUUGGCAUUAAGUUGUCGGGCAGGGGACAUCCAUCGUUUACUGUGGAAAAAUUAGAGUGUUUAAAGCAGGCUUAUGCCGUUGAAUAUAUUAGCAUGGAAUAAUAAGAUAGGACUUCGGAACUAUUUUGUUGGUUUGCGUUACGAAGUAAUGAUUAAUAGGGACAGUUGGGGGUAUUCGUAUUUCGUUGUCAGAGGUGAAAUUCUUGGAUUUCCGAAAGACGAACUACUGCGAAAGCAUUUACCAAGGAUGUUUUCAUUA